AGCGACCCUCGGGACCCUCCCCAGCUUAAACUUUAGUGGCUAAACUCGGGCCGGUGUGUAGUGCUCCAGACAAUUAAUUUCCGCGAUAUUUUAAAAAUUGUUAGGAUUUUGGCCUGCUGGUUGCCUGACAAGCAUGUGAUUAUUUUAUAAUGAACAUUAUUCUUGUGGUAAACUGCUGCCUCAGGGUGCUGUAAGUGCUGCUCAGUAAAUCAAUGUAAAUAUUAACUAUUGAUUGAAGAACGAAGUUGCUAAUAUAAAAUUUAAUUUCACAGUCUCCAAUAUUGCGUUAAAAUUUCAUUUGGGUCAAGUAUCGCUUUCAUGACAGAGUUCGUCAGCGAGUCCUUGAUGGUGGUUUGCAAUUUCUUCAGAGCCUAUUAUAUCAUUGAUAACAGAAAUGUUAUCAGUGAUAUAUUUAUGUCUUAAUUUUUUUUUGUUAUUUGUACCACUCGGUAGUUUCUUACAGCCGCCUCAUACCACCAUGUACUUGUCGGCAAAUGAUGAAUAUAAUCCUAAUAUGUAGUAUUUAUUUCAUAAUGUCUUGAUGCGCUAAUAAAUAUUGGUGUAAGUUAUUGUAAUGUUCGCAUUCAAUGGAUUUUAAUUGCUGUUAUAUGUUAUGUGUUUUACAAUGAACAUUCAUAAUGAACUUUGAAAACUGACCAUAAAUCGAUCUUGAUUGCGAAAGAGUUGACUGUACGCUCGCGUACAAGUUGGGAUUAGUCUUUAUGAUAGUUCCAGUUGUGGGGUUCAGUUUUUAUUAACAUGAAACUCAUUGCAUUUCUCUCUUUGCCUCCCGUGAGUUUGCUACCCUAACAAAAUUUAGAGGUGCCCCAGCUUCUGGUAAUCCAAAUCAGAAGCUGACUCGUCUGCAAAUUUUCACUGGGUAGUAACCUCUAGAGCUGCGGUUACUUAGCGCAUUUCUGGCAAAGCUAAAGAUGCUGCAUGAAAGGCAAAACAUUGAUUAUAUGAGAAGCAAUGUUUUCUGCGGUCACUUGAUUAGUGCCGCCUAUAAAUACGCCACUCCCAUGCAACGCUUUAUGAGCAUGAACAGCAAGUGCAUGACGUGCAUACUCGAAGACUAACAGCCAUGUUGAAAAAUUUCAUUUUUUUUAAGUCACCAUGAAACAUUUUUUGACUCUUUAAACAGUAACAAUACGGGAAUGAUGCUGCGAUAGUUCAGAUAAUUCUCGUACAUAUUUUAGUCCCCACGUCAUGUGGAAGAAAUGGUUUACGAAGAUCAAGCCGCCUGAGAAAGCACCCUCUGAACCUGCUGCAUCCGCAGCAUCAGAACCACUAAUGUAUUUCAGAUCAUCAACUUCGAGCUUUACGUUAAGCCGAACCUGAUGGUGAUGGCGUUUGGCGUGUGUUCUAUCACCCUCAGCGCCGCCUACCUGCUUUAUCUCCG